UAGAAACUUAGGAUUAAAUAAACCAAGAGCCUUCAAAGCCCUAAAUAUGAGUCUAACUCUCAUAGUUUCU
rnacentral:tRNA from 1 species